rnacentral:lncRNA from 1 species
CCUCCCUUCCCUUCACAGGUUGCCCCAUAGUGACCCUGGAGACUCCCGCCUGCCCCCAGUGAAGGAAUUGGUUACUCUCCCAGAGCCCUCCCGGGCAUCGCCCCCUUCCUCACUUCCUCCUCUUCCUGCCCCCAGCCUCUACCCCUCCAGCCUCCUGUGGCUUCACAGGCAAGUGCCGCAUCCCAGGAAGAAGGAGUUGGAGCUCCGUGAUGCCAUUCAAAAACAGAUGAGAUGGGGACAGAUUUAACCCAAAGGACAUAGUUCAACUCCUGGUCUUGACAGAGGAGAA